rnacentral:pre_miRNA from 13 species
CUCGUUGUUCCUUUUUCCUAUGCAUAUACUUCUUUGAGAAUUGCUUCUAAAGAGGUAUAGGGCAUGGGAAAAUGGGGCAACUGAGAU